rnacentral:snRNA from 2 species
AAAUUUACAAUGUAUUUUUUUUAAGUUACAGUGUAAUUUAUGAAACUUACAUUGUAACUUUUGUAAGUUAUAGUAUAAUUUUUGAAUCUUCACAUGCAAGUUUUGAAAUUUAUAUUGGAUUUGGUUUUUUUCUUGAAGAUAUGGUAACUUAGAGUCCAUUAUGAUGUUCUUAGUUGCUUUUUGC